rnacentral:rRNA from 1 species
CCUACGGGAGGCAGCAGUGGGGAAUAUUGCACAAUGGGCGCAAGCCUGAUGCAGCCAUGCCGCGUGUGUGAAGAAGGCCUUCGGGUUGUAAAGCACUUUCAGCGGGGAGGAAGGCGGUGAGGUUAAUAACCUCAUCGAUUGACGUUACCCGCAGAAGAAGCACCGGCUAACUCCGUGCCAGCAGCCGCGGUAAUACGGAGGGUGCAAGCGUUAAUCGGAAUUACUGGGCGUAAAGCGCACGCAGGCGGUCUGUCAAGUCGGAUGUGAAGUCCCCGGGCGCAACCUGGGAACUGCAUUCGAAACUGGCAGGCUAGAGUCUUGUAGAGGGGGGUAGAAUUCCAGGUGUAGCGGUGAAAUGCGUAGAGAUCUGGAGGAAUACCGGUGGCGAAGGCGGCCCCCUGGACAAAGACUGACGCUCAGGUGCGAAAGCGUGGGGAGCAAACAGGAUUAGAUACCCGUGUAGUC